rnacentral:miRNA from 1 species
UCAUGUUGCUUCUUUGU